GCAGUGGGGAAUAUUGGACAAUGGGCGAAAGCCUGAUCCAGCCAUGUCGCAUGAGUGAAGAAGGCCUUUGGGUUGUAAAGCUCUUUUAGUGAGGAAGAUAAUGACGGUACUCACAGAAGAAGUCCUGGCUAACUCCGUGCCAGCAGCCGCGGUAAUACGGAGAGGGCUAGCGUUAUUCGGAAUUAUUGGGCGUAAAGGGCGCGUAGGCUGAUUAAUAAGUUAAAAGUGAAAUCCCGAGGCUUAACCUUGGAAUUGCUUUUAAAACUAUUAAUCUAGAGAUUGAAAGGGGAUAGAGGAAUUCCUGAUGUAGAGGUAAAAUUCGUAAAUAUUAGGAGGAACACCAGUGGCGAAGGCAUCUAUCUGGUUCAAAUCUGACGCUGAGGCGCGAAGGCGUGGGGAGCAAACAGGAUUAGAUACCCUGGUAGUCCACGCUGUAAACGAUGAAUGUUAAAUAUGGGAAGUUUACUUUCUGUAUUACAGCUAACGCGUUAAACAUUCCGCCUGGGGACUACGGUCGCAAGAUUAAAACUCAAAUGA
rnacentral:rRNA from 1 species